UCGGAUAUGGUGUAACGGCUAACAUUAGCGCCUCUCAUUGGUAACUACGUCGUCUUCGAGCGCGCUAGCUCGGGGUUCGAUUCCCCGUAUCCGAA